rnacentral:lncRNA from 1 species
CUAUAAGAUAGGUUGAGGCUAAACCAGAAAAGGGUUCAGAGAAACUCUCUAACCUACUCUAUGUUCAAGAUCAAGCUUAGCGGUUGCAGCUGUUACUGGCAAACUAACACUCUCUUCUGUCCUGUCAAUCAUCCCAUCUACCCCAUCAAUUAUAAACCUAACCUGUAGCAGGUGUGCUGCUUUUGUAGAGUCCUCAACACAUCUCUGAUGUUGCUAGUAGCCUGGUCUCUUUCUCUUUUAGCUGCAUUCUCUAUUUUUCCUCAUUGCAAAAUGUAUUUACUCUUUCCCUGAGCCAGAAAUCUCCUGAGUCUGGUGCAUUAGUUCUGUGCAGGAGUAUCUACGCUAAGUCUGCUAUGCCAGAAAACUGAAGAGUAAGGCAAGGACGCUUGUCAUCACUGAUUUGACAGCAGCAGUGGGAGGCAUAAAUCAUCAUCAGUUGAAUGCUGUAUAUAUGUGAUAAUGGAUCCCACCCUUGUCUGCCUCCAAUUUUGAUUCAGCACUUUCUUAUUUUUGAAAAGCACAUAAAAGAACAUUGGUUAAUAUUAAUAGUAACAAACUCCACUCUUUUGGAAGGGACUCAUUACCAUGCCAGCUGCCAGCUUUGUGAUUACAAAGACGUUUCUGCUAGCAGUUACAUCCAUACGUUGGCUUGCAAUAGAGAAAGAAAGGCUGCCUGAUUAUCAUUCAUAUAAUGUCCUUUUCUCAGCACACCAAAAUGGGAAGAUAAAGAAGGAUGCUCUGAGGCCUCAGAAGAAAAUGAUAAACUCAUGAACUAAGAAACAAAAAUAAAAAGAGUAAAGAAAGUAGGAGCUGCUGAAGA